rnacentral:pre_miRNA from 1 species
CGGGGGAGGCCGGAUCCUGGGCUGUGUCCCGGCGCCCUGUGCUCCGGAGCCUGCGCUGUUGGAUUCACGCUCCCGGGCCGCGCAACCCCCU